GUGUUCACGCAACAAGGCUGCCAUCUUAUACGACUCAUUACUCUAUUGAUCUAAUCAGCCAUCUCAUUUACAACAAAAUCACAGCAGUUCUCAUAUACCGGCAUAACAGCAGCAUUUUAUUAUAAUAUCAUCGCAUCUAAUCUAACAAAAAUAACAGCGCGAGACAACAGCUAUGCGGUGGAGGCCUUCAACGCAGCGUGGGAGACACCAGCGGCGAUCAAUGUAAGUUGUUGUGACUAUUUGCUAUUUCUUGUUUUCUAUCUCUUAUAGUUUCUCACUUGCAUUUGCUCAAUUUGUUUGUUAUAAUAUUCGCAAACACAACCGGUAAAAUUACAUAUAUACCUACCUAUUGUUUUUUUUUGCUCACCGGUCAGCUUACUUAUGUACAUACUCGUACAUAUGUACAAUAGAGAGUAGGUCAAUCACCAUGCCUAUAUGCUGAUCGCCGUUGAGGUAGGUCGUGGUUUUCACUUUGCUUAUACACCCAAAAAGAAAUAUUAGUAAUAAUAAUCUGAACUAAAACCGAGGUUACAAUUGAUUACUGUUUGCGUAGGUUAGGGUUCAUAAAAUUAAUUAGGACGAUCAUAUAGAAGUAAUUGAAUCGAAGUAUAGUUGGCCUACUUAAGGCAAGAAUGAAAUGGUGUUACAAUAUUUGAAGUCUUAAGCACCAAAUAUUUUAUUCCACAAAUAACUAAAAUUUGUUAUAAUCUAAAUUGAAUUAAGUAUUAAGAAUAAGAACAAAUAAUUUAACAACGAUAGUUUAGUGGAAUAAUA